rnacentral:piRNA from 1 species
UCUGAUGUAAACACUGAGCUUGCUGGGUUG